GGAUUAGAUACCCUGGUAGUCCACGCCGUAAACGAUGGAUACUAGGUGUUGCGGGUAACCACUCCUGCAGUGCCGUAGCUAACGCAUUAAGUAUCCCGCCUGGGGAGUACGGCCGCAAGGCUAAAACUCAAAGGAAUUGACGGGGGCCCGCACAAGCGGUGGGGCAUGUGGUUUAAUUCGAUAUACGCGAGGAACCUUACCAGGGCUUGACAUAUACAGGAAUGUGCAUGAGAGUGCGCAGCCCUUCGGGGUCUGUAUACAGGUGCUGCAUGGCUGUCGUCAGCUCGUGCCG
rnacentral:rRNA from 1 species